CACUUAUUAAGAGUGACGGAGAGUUAAGGAUCUGUGAUGUCACGGCAACCCCUUUUAGGAAGGUGCCAACCUGAGCGAGAAAUCGAGCAAUGAGUG
rnacentral:ncRNA from 2 species